rnacentral:rRNA from 1 species
GGGCCCGCACAAGCGGUGGAGCAUGUGGUUUAAUUCGAUGAUACGCGAGGAACCUUACCAGGGCUUAAAUGUAGUGGGACAGGUCUAGAGAUAGACCCUUCUUCGGACUCAUUACAAGGUGCUGCAUGGUUGUCGUCAGCUCGUGCCGUGAGGUGUCAGGUUAAGUCCUAUAACGAGCGCAACCCCUAUCGUUAGUUGCCAGCGAGUAAUGUCGGGAACUCUAACGAAACUGCCAGUGCAAACUGUGAGGAAGGUGGGGAUGACGUCAAAUCAUCACGGCCCUUACGUCCUGGGCUACACACGUGCUACAAUGGCCGGUACAGAGAGCAGCCACUUCGCAAGAAGGAGCGAAUCUAUUAAAACCGGUCUCAGUUCAGAUCGUAGGCUGCAACUCGCCUACGUGAAGGAGGAAUC